rnacentral:rRNA from 1 species
UACGUAGGGUGCAAGCGUUGUCCGGAAUUAUUGGGCGUAAAGAGCUCGUAGGCGGUCUGUCGCGUCGGCUGUGAAAACUCGGGGCUCAACUCCGAGCUUGCAGUCGAUACGGGCAGGCUAGAGUUCGGCAGGGGAGACUGGAAUUCCUGGUGUAGCGGUGAAAUGCGCAGACAUCAGGAGGAACACCGGUGGCGAAGGCGGGUCUCUGGGCCGAUACUGACGCUGAGGAGCGAAAGCGUGGGGAGCGAACAGG